rnacentral:rRNA from 1 species
GAUGAACGCUAGCGGCAGGCUUAACACAUGCAAGUCGAGGGGCAGCAUGAGGGUUAGCAAUAACCCUUGAUGGCGACCGGCGCAAGGGUGCGUAACGCGUGAGCAACUUGCCCGUUUCAGGGGGAUAACCGGUGGAAACGCCGACUAAUACCCCAUAGCAUCACAAGGAGGCAUCUCCAUGUGAUUAAAGAAUUUCGGAAACGGAUAGGCUCGCGUGACAUUAGCUAGAUGGCGGGUAACGGCCCACCAUGGCGACGAUGUCUAGGGGUUCUGAGAGGAAGGUCCCCCACACUGGAACUGAGACACGGUCCAGACUCCUACGGGAGGCAGCAGUGAGGAAUAUUGGUCAAUGGUCAGACGACUGAACCAGCCAUGCCGCGUGAAGGUCACGGCCCUAUGGGUCUUAAACUUCUUUUGCAAGGGAACAAUAAGAGCUACGUGUAGCUUGAUGAGAGUACCUUGCGAAUAAGCAUCGGCUAACUCCGUGCCAG